rnacentral:lncRNA from 1 species
UAUUGUUCCAAUCCAAAACCCUUCCAGACAAUUAGAUCACAAAUACAUUAACGAUACUAUUUUUAGGAGCAAUACAUAUACGUACAUCGGCUUCUUGCAGACCAUAUAGACAGACCAGCCACACCAGAUGCCACAGAAGCAGAUCCUGUAUAUGAAAAUAUGGACAUGAUCAAAAGGAGGACUAGUACCAGCGAUUAUAGAAGUACAACAGAUGAGGAAGAAAGUGGACUUUAAAUGCUUCAAUUUUUUUAUUAAAUCAUUCCAAAAAUGACUGAGAACGGAGUAUUACAUAUAACUAGAUAGAAUAAAUUACUUUUAUAUUUGCUUAUAAUAGAACCUAAAAAAAUUGUUCAUGUGAAGUGGUAUAGUAUACCACAACUACAAAAUAUGAGGUUAAACAUACUUAAAGUGCUAGAAUUAUUUUUCUUCUGAAUGUAUAUUAUGUCUGAAUAUUUUAGUAAAUGUUUUGCAGCCUUGUAGGCUAAAUUGAGGUGUAAAUAACAGUACAAGAUGUAAUUCUCAUAUUUUUCUGUAUCACAUAUAAUUUUAGCACAAAUAUGAUCAUAGUAGACCCAUAUUUCUUGUACUUAAUAUUAGAUAUGAGUUUGAUAAACCUUUAAAAUAAUUGGAAUGUAAAGAAACUUGAAUGUAAAAAACUGUAUACACUGUAAAAUUGUAAAAAAUAAUGUUAUCUAUGUUUUGAUUGAUGUGUACAUACAGAUCUUUUUUUUUCUUUUAGAAGAACGAAAUUAUUACAGUAUUAGGCUUCAGAUUAAGCCAAUAAUCGUAUGUAAAAUUUGUAGUAAAAUGUAUAUUUUUAUUAUAGCUUAUGAUGUAUAAAAGAAUUCUUCUCUUU